GUGUUGGUCCAGCGGCUAAGACUCUGGCCUUCCAAGCCAGCGACCCGGGUUCGAGUCCCGGACACCGCA
rnacentral:tRNA from 1 species